GAAGGGUUAGUAAUGACUGUCCUCGGUCCCCAGGUAAACAACACCUGGAGUAGGUGUUAUAACAAAACUUUGGGAAAUUGAACUGAUCCAUAACAGAUGAAAAUGAUAACUGGAGCAUGGAACAAUAGCUCCCACCACCACUAUCACCACCACCACCUAUGGCAAGAUGAGUUAUGACUAAACCCUUGAGAAAUUAACAACUGGAUCCUGGAAACACUGCUGUUACAGGUAUGUCUUUAUGUCUGUCUGUCUGUGUUUUUCUAGGU